rnacentral:rRNA from 1 species
GGUUGAUCCUGCCAGUAGUCAUAUGCUUGUCUCAAAGAUUAAGCCAUGCAUGUCUAAGUAUAAACAUCUUUAUACAGUGAAACUGCGUACAGCUCAUUAUAUCAGUUUUUAUUUAUUUGAUGGUACCUCAUGGAUACCCGUAGUGAUUCUAGAGCUAAUACAUGCGUAAAGUCCCGACUUCUUGCAAGGGAUGUAUUUAUUAGAUUAAAAACCAAUGCAAGCAACUGCUCCUUUGGUGACUCAUAGUAACUUUAACGGAUCGCACGGCUUCACGUCGGCGACAGUUCAUUCAA